rnacentral:rRNA from 1 species
GAUGAACGCUGGCGGCGUGCCUAAUACAUGCAAGUCGAGCGAACAGACGAGGAGCUUGCUCCUCUGACGUUAGCGGCGGACGGGUGAGUAACACGUGGAUAACCUACCUAUAAGACUGGGAUAACUUCGGGAAACCGGAGCUAAUACCGGAUAAUAUAUUGAACCGCAUGGUUCAAUAGUGAAAGACGGUUUUGCUGUCACUUAUAGAUGGAUCCGCGCCCUUAGCUAGUUGGUAAGGUAACGGCCUACCAAGGCAACGAUGCGUAGCCGACCUGAGAGGGUGAUCGGCCACACUGGAACUGAGACACGGUCCCGACUCCUACGGGAGGCAGCAGUAGGGAAUCUUCCGCAAUGGGCGAAAGCCUGACGGAGCAACGCCGCGUGAGUGAUGAAGGUCUUCGGAUCGUAAAACUCUGUUAUUAGGGAAGAACAAAUGUGUAAGUAACUAUGCACGUCUUGACGGUACCUAAUCAGAAAGCCACGGCUAACUACGUG